rnacentral:rRNA from 1 species
GUUGGUGAGGUAACGGCUCACCAAGGCGACGAUCCCUAGCUGGUCUGAGAGGAUGACCAGCCACACUGGAACUGAGACACGGUCCAGACUCCUACGGGAGGCAGCAGUGGGGAAUAUUGCACAAUGGGCGCAAGCCUGAUGCAGCCAUGCCGCGUGUAUGAAGAAGGCCUUCGGGUUGUAAAGUACUUUCAGCGGGGAGGAAGGUGUUGUGGUUAAUAACCGCAGCAAUUGACGUUACCCGCAGAAGAAGCACCGGCUAACUCCGUGCCAGCAGCCGCGGUAAUACGGAGGGUGCAAGCGUUAAUCGGAAUUACUGGGCGUAAAGCGCACGCAGGCGGUCUGUCAAGUCGGAUGUGAAAUCCCCGGGCUCAACCUGGGAACUGCAUUCGAAACUGGCAGGCUUGAGUCUUGUAGAGGGGGGUAGAAUUCCAGGUGUAGCGGUGAAAUGCGUAGAGAUCUGGAGGAAUACCGGUGGCGAAGGCGGCCCCCUGGACAAAGACUGACGCUCAGGUGCGAAAGCGUGGGGAGCAAACAGGAUUAGAUACCCUGGUAGUCCACGCCGUAAACGAUGUCUACUUGGAGGUUGUGCCCUUGAGGCGUGGCUUCCGGAGCUAACGCGUUAAGUAGACCGCCUGGGGAGUACGGCCGCAAGGUUAAAACUCAAAUGAAUUGACGGGGGCCCGCACAAGCGGUGGAGCAUGUGGUUUAAUUCGAUGCAACGCGAAGAACCUUACCUGGUCUUGACAUCCACAGAACUUUCCAGAGAUGGAUUGGUGCCUUCGGGAACUGUGAGACAGGUGCUGCAUGGCUGUCGUCAGCUCGUGUUGUGAAAUGUUGGGUUAAGUCCCGCAACGAGCGCAACCCUUAUCCUUUGUUGCCAGCGGUCCGGCCGGGAACUCAAAGGAGACUGCCAGUGAUAAACUGGAGGAAGGUGGGGAUGACGUCAAGUCAUCAUGGCCCUUACGACCAGGGCUACACACGUGCUACAAUGGCGCAUACAAAGAGAAGCGACCUCGCGAGAGCAAGCGGACCUCAUAAAGUGCGUCGUAGUCCGGAUUGGAGUCUGCAACUCGACUCCAUGAAGUCGGAAUCGCUAGUAAUCGUGGAUCAGAAUGCCACGGUGAAUACGUUCCCGGGCCUUGUACACACCGCCCGUCACACCAUGGGAGUGGGUUGCAAAAGAAGUAGGUAGCUUAACCUUCGGGAGGGCGCUUACCACUUUGUGAUUCAUGACUGGGGUGAAGUCGUAACAAGGUAACCGUAGGGGAACCUGCGGUUGGAUCACCUCCUUACCUUAAAGAA